GGACCACCCUUCCCCCAGAGAACCCCACACUCAUCAUCACUGCGUGCAGGAAACAGAUGCGCUGCUUGGCUCUGUGUGCGUGUGUGCGCGUACCUUCCUGCCGAGAGUCAAGUUGAAACUGAGGCUUCAAUUUCGGUCUGUAAAGCUACAACCAGCUCACGCUUUCUCAAAACUGUCCCUGUUGCUGCCUUGUGGUACGUCUGUACAGCUGUGUUCGUGUGCUGGUGCCUCUCUAACCCAUCCUUUCUCACUUCCCCUUCUCCCCCCCAAGAAGCUUGUGUUUUUUGUCAGGCCGUCACGGUCAAUAAGAACUUGUUCUUAAUGAUCUGCCUGGUUGAAUAAAGCUGGCCCCGCCCACACCUCCACAAUCCCUCAUCCCUGCGGAAGCGCCAACCAUGUGCUGCACCUGGGUAGACCAUCCCUGAAGAACAGGAGCAUGUUCCAAGGUACCACUGUUCCCGUACCACCACAUACAGGACGGAUAGGAGGCUUGGAGACCCUCUGGUGCCCUAUCACAGGACCGAUAGGAGGCUGGGAGACCCUCUGGUGCCCUAUCACAGGACCGAUAGGAGGCUUGGUCAACGGUUGUGAAUGUCCAACAGGGGCAGGACCUCUGGGGACCUCGGCUUCAAACAGGAAGUGACAGUUGAUCACCACGGCGACCGUGUUCCCAUCAGGGAGGGUUUGAGCCGCUACAUUCCAUUGAACCGUUGCAUUCCAAGGAAGGCCUCGACUGGCUGCUUGAGCAGAACCAAGGUCGACCACUGCAGCGGCGCCGUAGCACCGUGACGAUCCAGAGCUGUUGACACACGCAUGUGUUUGGAGAGAGGUGUCUGCAGGCUUCUUCCAUGCGGGCGUGUGUGUGUGGGUCAGAGUCCACACACUGACACCAUUGACGCUGAAUACAACUGGGCUGGGACAACAGCACAGUCACUGCUCUGUGACCCAUCACCACGGUAACCGCCAGCACUCAGCCUCCACCAGACAAGAUGGCAAGAUCCCAGGACCAGACGGGGCUUUCCCCUGCCUCUCUGCCAGACCUUUCCGGGACAUCGCUCCCACCUAUCGGCUGCUGUUUCCUGCCCCUCUGACUCCUGAUAGGAGGCCUGGGAAAGAGAACACAAGGUCGUCAGUGAAGAUCUGGAGAGAGCAGGAUCGGUGGUCCGGUCGUAGGAAGGUAUGGUGGAAUCCCGAG
ensembl:lncRNA